AUUGAACGCUGGCGGAAUGCUUUACACAUGCAAGUCGAACGGCAGCACGGGUGCUUGCACCUGGUGGCGAGUGGCGAACGGGUGAGUAAUACAUCGGAACGUACCCAGUUGUGGGGGAUAACUAACCGAAGGUUAGCUAAUACCGCAUACGACCUGAGGGUGAAAGCGGGGGACCGUAAGGCCUCGCGCAAUUGGAGCGGCCGAUGUCUGAUUAGCUAGUUGGUAGGGUAAAGGCCUACCGAGGCGACGAUCAGUAGCAGGUCUGAGAGGAUGAUCUGCUACACUGGAACUGAGACACGGUCCAGACUCCUACGGGAGGCAGCAGUGGGGAAUUUUGGACAAUGGGCGAAAGCCUGAUCCAGCCAUUCCGCGUGAGUGAAGAAGGCCUUCGGGUUGUAAAGCUCUUUCGGCAGGGAAGAAACGGUUCUGAAUAAUACUUGGGGUCGAUGACGGUACCGGAAGAAUAAGGACCGGCUAACUACGUGCCAGCCGCCGCCGUAA
rnacentral:rRNA from 1 species